AGUGAACGCUGGCGGUAGGCCUAACACAUGCAAGUCGAACGGCAGCACAGUAAGAGCUUGCUCUUACGGGUGGCGAGUGGCGGACGGGUGAGGAAUACAUCGGAAUCUACUUUUUCGUGGGGGAUAACGUAGGGAAACUUACGCUAAUACCGCAUACGACCUACGGGUGAAAGCAGGGGAUCUUCGGACCUUGCGCGAUUGAAUGAGCCGAUGUCGGAUUAGCUAGUUGGCGGGGUAAAGGCCCACCAAGGCGACGAUCCGUAGCUGGUCUGAGAGGAUGAUCAGCCACACUGGAACUGAGACACGGUCCAGACUCCUACGGGAGGCAGCAGUGGGGAAUAUUGGACAAUGGGCGCAAGCCUGAUCCAGCCAUACCGCGUGGGUGAAGAAGGCCUUCGGGUUGUAAAGCCCUUUUGUUGGGAAAGAAAAGCAGCAGGCUAAGACCCCGCUGUUCUGACGGUACCCAAAGAAUAAGCACCGGCUAACUUCGUG
rnacentral:rRNA from 1 species